rnacentral:rRNA from 1 species
UACGUAGGGGGCAAGCGUUGUCCGGAUUUAUUGGGCGUAAAGAGCGUGUAGGCGGCCAGGUAGGUCAGCUGUGAAAACUCGAGGCUCAACCUCGAGAUGUCGGCUGAAACCAUCUGGCUAGAGUCCGGAAGAGGAGAAUGGAAUUCCCGGUGUAGCGGUGAAAUGCGCAGAUAUCGGGAGGAACACCAGUGGCGAAGGCGACUACCUGGCCCAUUCUUGACGCUGAGGCGCGAAAGCUAGGGGAGCGAACGGG